GCUCGUGUAGCUCAGAGGGAGAGCGGCUCCCUUACAAGCAGCGGGCCGCUGGUUCGAAUCCAGCCGCGAGCACCA
rnacentral:tRNA from 1 species